UAGGGAAUCUUCGGCAAUGGACGAAAGUCUGACCGAGCAACGCCGCGCGAGUGAAGAAGGUUUUCGGAUCGUAAAACUCUGUUGUUAGAGAAGAACAAGGACGUUAGUAACUGAACGUCCCCUGACGGUAUCUAACCAGAAAGCCACGGCUAACUACGUGCCAGCAGCCGCGGUAAUACGUAGGUGGCAAGCGUUGUCCGGAUUUAUUGGGCGUAAAGCGAGCGCAGGCGGUUUCUUAAGUCUGAUGUGAAAGCCCCCGGCUCAACCGGGGAGGGUCAUUGGAGACUGGGAGACUUGAGUGCAGAAGAGGAGAGUGGAAUUCCAUGUGUAGCGGUGAAAUGCGUAGAUAUAUGGAGGAACACCAGUGGCGAAGGCGGCUCUCUGGUCUGUAACUGACGCUGAGGCACGAAAGCGUGGGGAGCAAACAGG
rnacentral:rRNA from 1 species